rnacentral:rRNA from 1 species
CACGUAGGGUGCGAGCGUUGUUCGGAUUUACUGGGCGUAAAGAGCUCGUAGGCGGCUCGGUAAGUCGGGUGUGAAACCCCCAGGCUCAACCUGGGACGCCACCCGAUACUGCUGUGGCUAGAGUCCAGUAGGGAGUGUGGAAUUCCCGGUGUGAGCGGUGAAAUGCGCAGAUAUCGGGAGGAACACCAGCGGCGAAGGCGGCACUCUGGGCUGGAACUGACGCUGAGGAGCGAAAGCGUGGGUAGCAAACAGGGA